UUUGUCCCGGUAAUGGAGCCCCGCAGCCCCUCCCGCCGCUCCCUGAGGUAUCGCCCUCUCCUCGCGCCCCUUUCUUCAUCCUAUUAAAAUCCUCCUCGUAGGGCGCUCUGACGGCGCGGUUACGUCGCUGUCUGACUUUGAUGCUCUCCUGUGGCCGCCCUCGGGCCGCAGGAAUGUUACAGGGCCUUACAUGUGGCGAGGUUCGGCGUACAGAUAGAGAAAUUAGAGGAUCGCGAGUGGAUGCUGAACAACAGCUGGCUGCAGGGCUGGUUGUGCGCUGCGCGGCGUGUGAGCGCUUUGCUGUCGUGGAGUGAGAUCACAGAACUGCAGCGUGGUGGGUUGGAAGGGACCUGAAAGAUCACAGAACCAUGGAGUAGUUAGUUGGCUUGGAAAUAACCUUAAAGGUCACAGAACCAUAGAGUGGUUGUCUUGGAAAGGACCUUACAGCCCCUCCAGCCCCUCUCCUGCCGUGGGCUGGGUGCUCCCCAGCUCAGGCUGCCCAGGACCCUUCCGUGGCCUGCAGCACCUGCAGCUCUGGGGCACCCGCAGCUCUGGGCAGCACUGGUGAGCCAGAACCUCACCACUCUAGGUGAAGGAUUUCCCCCUAACGUCUAACAUGAAUCUGCCCUUGUCCUAUCGCUAUUAGGCCUCGUAAUGGUUCCUAUAUAGAAGCUUUAGUGGUGCAGGGGGUUCUGGGUAUCUUUCUUUACAGCACGUUCUUAGUCACUUCCUCUGACAAAUUGUGCUGUUUUAGAGUUUUUUCUGUUGGUUUCUGUCUCCAGCAGACUUUCGGUUGUUCUCAGAGGGCUCUGGAGAGGUGAAGGGCUGAACUCAGCUCUUGGGGAGAUGUGCGUUAUAUUUCCACAUAGUUUUGUAGUUGUGCCAUGUGUCUUUUAAAGAUACCAUCAGGAUAAUUUUUUGAGAGCUCUGCUAUAAUGCUGUGUCCUGGUUUCUGAGUGAAUAACGACUUGUUUUGUUCUGGACUUACCUACUUUCUUUUUUUCUCUUGUCCAGCUACAAACACACAGUGCUGAUCACCACUAGUGCUCGUGGUUGGAAAGGCUGUUUUCUACAUAGUAUGGAUGUUGUUGAACAGUAACUUCCAGUGCUGACAUAUUUUUAUUUAUUUUUAAAUGCACUUCAUAACCACACAGCGACUGUAGCUACUUUCCAGCACUGCUGACUGAUAUUGCCACUAACUUUGACUGGAGUGGAGAACUGUGCUAUUUGGAAAAUGGUGUGCUUAUUUUCUUAAACUUCUGCUUCAGUGCUUUUUCAAGCAGCAUAUUCAGUGGUUUCUACCCCUGAAGUUAAAGAAACUUACAUAUACUUUGUGCUUUACGUGGUGCAGUAAAAGCUCAGCCUCCAACUUUGAGGCACAACUCCCCAACAGUUAUGCUAUUAAAAUACAAAGCUGCUCUGCUUAAGUCUUCUAAAAUAAGCUUAGCCGGGUUGUUUGUAAGGUUCCUUCCAUAAAAUCUAGGCUUGAAGCCACAAGGAAUGUCUUUUUAACAUCUUAUGUUCGAUGCUAUUUGACUUGAUUACUUACAAGUUUUUCUGUAUGAAGUUAGUAAGAAAGCUUAGCAACCUGAUUUUUGUCAGGGUAAAAUUGGUAAGUAUUAGGAAUUCUCUUAUUAUGGUUAAAUAUAGAAAUGCAAAACUAAAACUUUUAUGGGUCUGACCACAAACGUUUCAGGCAGCUGGAUCUUGAGACAUGUUUGGGUCAUUGUUUUUACUUAACUGUCAAAAAUGCAGAUUUUGGCAUGGCUUCAUUGUUUGAAGCAGUUUCUGAUCUCUGCAGAUCUCAGCACUGGCAGGCAGGUGUGUUGGGCACAGCAUUUGCACUGGGAGGUCUGGAGCUGCAUGGUGCUCUUUUGUGUCCUUGUGCUGACUUUUCUCCUGUGACUUCUGAGGAACUAAUCAUGGAAUUUCUGUGUUCUGGUGUGCUUUGAGCAGUGGGGAGCUGUGUGAUAGGUGUUCCAUCAGCCACAAGGUGGCUGCUGUGUGUUCUGUGGAGCUGGUGUGCUGGAAGCAGAGCAGGUGAGCAACAGGCUGCUGUUUGGGUUCUGAGUCCUCUCCUCAGUGCUGUUUGAAGGGGAGCAUUGCUGGUAGUUAAGUCUGCAGACAGAACAGCUGUUAGUGGCUGAAGUGAGGCUGGCACAUUACACUGUUCUGCUGGAGUGUCAUUUCCUAUGCUGUAAAUGUUGCACCGUGUGAAUGAAAGCCCAUGAAGUGGGAAGACAGAUAAAAGUGGGAAGACUUGAUACAAAACUGUGCUGUUAUUUAACCAAAAAUACAAAUGCAAGUGCAUUUUACUGAUGUCUCUGGUAAUUUGUAAUGGAAUUAAGCACUUGUGGCAGCAUGCGUUUUGCUGGCAGGUACAGUCUGUGGCUCUUUCUGUCUCUGUCGCAAGCUCUGGGAUCACUGAGCUGUUCUUUGUCCUGGAUACUGCUGUGUCUCAGACCCAGGGUUUAAAAAACUAGGCUUCAAAAUAAAUAUCUAAAUUGAGAGCAGCUAGACAAGAAACAGAACAAAUAGUUCUGUGUUACAACUCAAUUUUUCUGAAGUGAGUAAAACGAGCAUCUUAAUAGAACCAGGCUGUGAGUCUAUGUGCUGCCUGGUUCAUUGGGUUUUUCAUCAAGUCUAGUGUUUUGCUUUAGCGGCGUCUUUUAUAUUCCAGGAAAAUAAAAACAGCAGCAGCUGUGUGUGGGGAAUGAGGGGGACAAACUGAUUGUUCCUCAGAGCAGUACACUUUACUGCUGUAAGCAUGACUAACUGCAGAGGUAAUGGUAGCCAUAAAGCUAUGGUGUGUGGCAUGUUGAGAAACAUACAUUUGCAGUACUUUCUUCUGAUGGAGUGCCUGGUGACUCGGUCCGACUCAUGGGCUCCACUGAGUAGGAGAUGUUUUUUUUCACAAUUCCUCCAGCAGUUCCUCCAGCUGCCUCUGCUGGAGGAGGGAGGGCAGUGACAGGGCUCAGCUGGGGCACUGCCACCUCUCCCUCUUCCCACAUGGGUGCACUAUUCAGCAUCUUCAAGCAGAUGGGUUUACAGAUACCUGUAACCUGGACAGACUUUCACCGUGUGGUGAAACCUAUCUUCUUUCUUCUUCCUCUCCAACUGAACAACAGUAGAAUUGCUGGAUGAGGAGCAAUCAGGAAGCUGGUAGCCUUCUUUGUGCGCUCUGGGACGAAGAAAGUUCCUCGUAGCGUCUCCAGUACUUUCGGUUCAUUACUGCACAUCUUUCUUGUGUCACUUCGUUGUUGCCUUUGGAGAGCCCUGGAGGUCUGGCAGCCCUCUUGGGUCCUUCAGUUGCUUCUGGAAGGCUUUUCCUGGGGCCAGGAUCUCAGGUUGUGUUUUUCCCACUUGUCUUUCAUCGUUAUUACCGGAGCUGCAUUUCUUUAAGUAUUUUGGACGUACAUCUAAAGCAGAGUCAGAACUUGAUGCCUCGCCCUCAAGACUUUUCAUUCAAAUAAGCAGUCAUGACCAGACUUCUGCAUGGCAGGAUGUAAGCUCUGCUGGUUUCCAUGGAAGUCCCUCGGGUUGUGUUGCUGGAAUAGCAAAUAACUGCAAACAGCUUGUUAAGUGCUUGCGUGGGGGAGUGGGUUUGGGGAGCGAGAAACUUAAUUGCCUCUGUUAUUUGUACAUUAGUGCCAUUCUCAUGUGAAAUGCUUUAUUACUUACCUUCAAACUGAACUCCCACCAUCUAUUGAACAGAAGUAUAUGUUGGUGCCUCUGUGCUCGGUUCUUUCAGAACGGAAUGUUCUGCCUCUGGUCCUGUAAGCUCUCAGCAGUGGUAUUCCUGCACACCUCAGCUCCGCAGUGAUCGACCUGCAGCAGGUUUGCUUGCAGAUCUUCUACAUGUAAGCACAUCGGAGGCUGGCAUCAGAAGCAGCCGUUUAUCUGACUAGAUGUGCCUUAACAUGAUCCUGAAAUUGCAGGCACGCUACGGAAUGAGGUGCAGUCUGGUGAGCACACUUCCCUUACAGAGACGUUGUGAUGUGCAGAUGUGAAAGUGGGAGAAGUAUUAAAUCUGGACUUUUU